UUAAAUUGAAGAGUUUGAUCAUGGCUCAGAUUGAACGCUGGCGGCAGGCCUAACACAUGCAAGUCGAACGGUAACAGGAAGAAGCUUGCUUCUUUGCUGACGAGUGGCGGACGGGUGAGUAAUGUCUGGGAAACUGCCUGAUGGAGGGGGAUAACUACUGGAAACGGUAGCUAAUACCGCAUAACGUCGCAAGACCAAAGAGGGGGACCCUCGGGCCUCUUGCCAUCGGAUGUGCCCAGAUGGGAUUAGCUUGUUGGUGGGGUAACGGCUCACCAAGGCGACGAUCCCUAGCUGGUCUGAGAGGAUGACCAG
rnacentral:rRNA from 1 species